GCCGACAUAGCUCAGGGGUAGAGCAACUGAUUCGUAAUCAGUAGGCCCUCGGUUCAAUUCCGAGUGUCGGCACCA
rnacentral:tRNA from 34 species